AAGGUACUCCCUCCGUUCGGAAUUACUCGUCCAAGAAAUGAACGUAUCUAGAUGUAUUUUAGUUGUAGACACAUCCAUUUUUGUGACAAGUAAUUCCGAACGGAGGGAGUAUAUA
rnacentral:pre_miRNA from 1 species